rnacentral:misc_RNA from 1 species
ACGAAUUACUGAGGGUUGAUGCUGGCAGUCUGACUGCAUGUGCUCGCUCUUAUUAAUCCAUUUACACUUGUGCACUUAAUUUCGAAGGCAGGGUAGAACCUGCCUUUGAGAUUUAACAAAUUCUUUACCGGAUUAAUGAAUAUUUAUCUGCCGUAAGGCAAAGUUUAAUA